rnacentral:rRNA from 1 species
AUUGAACGCUAGCGGCAUGCCUUACACAUGCAAGUCGAACGGAGUGGCGAACGGGUGAGUAAUGUAUCUGAACGUGCCCAGUAGCUGGGGAUAACUACGCGCAAGCGUAGCUAAUACCGCAUACUAUUGGAGCGGCCUAGAUGGGAUUAGCUAGUUGGUGGGGUAACGGCUCACCAAGGCGACGAUCCGUAGCUGGUUUGAGAGGACGACCAGCCACACUGGGACUGAGACACGGGCCAGACUCCUACGGGAGGCAGCAGUGGGGAAUUUUGGACAAUGGGGGAAACCCUGAUCCAGCCAUGCCGCGUGUGCGAUGAAGGCCUUCGGGUUGUAAAGCACUUUUGGCAGGAAAGCGGUACCUGCAGAAUAAGCACCGGCUAACUACGUGCCAGCAGCCGCGGUAAUUC